rnacentral:tRNA from 1 species
GUGGCAUUAGCUCAGUUGGUAGAGCAUCGGUUUGUGGCACCGAGGGUCGUGGGUUCGAAGCCCGCAUGCCACCCCA